rnacentral:rRNA from 1 species
GAGUAACACGUGGGUGACCUGCCCGGUGCAGGGGGAUAACUUUUCGAAAGGGAAGCUAAUACCGCAUGAGCUCCUGGAAGCGAUUUUAGGGGGAAAGCCGAAAGGCGGCACUGGAGGGGCCCGCGCUCGAUUAGCUAGUUGGUGAGGUAAGGGCUCACCAAGGCGACGAUCGAUAGCCGGUCUGAGAGGACGGACGGCCACACUGGAACUGAGACACGGUCCAGACUCCUACGGGAGGCAGCAGUGGGGAAUUUUGCGCAAUGGGCGAAAGCCUGACGCAGCAACGCCGCGUGGAGGAUGAAGGUUUUCGGAUCGUAAACUCCUGUCCUCAGGGAAGAAGAAAGUGACGGUACCUGGGGAGGAAGCCCCGGCUAACUCCGUGCCAGCAGCCGCGGUAAUACGGGGGGGGCAAGCGUUGUUCGGAAUUACUGGGCGUAAAGGGCGCGUAGGCGGCCUGGGAAGUUCUGGGUGAAAGCCCCCGG